GGCUCCUUCUGGUUUAGAAGUGUACCAUUCCUAGUUCUUCUAAGAUUUUUGAAUUUGCAUAUACAUUUAUUUUGGGCACUAAGCACCUCGUGAAGGCCCCAGCCUCAAGACCUCAUCUAAACCUAGUUACCUCCCAAAGGCCUUAUUUCCAAAACUCAUAAUAUUUGGGGGGUUGCUUAUUUUGGAAGAGAAGAGUGAUAAAGGUUAUGAAAUUAGCAAACAGCUUAGCCAUCAAACAGAUAAAUGCAGGACAACACAGAUGAUGUCAAAAUUAGUAAGAUGAGGUUCAAAUAAAUUCCACUGAGUAUAACAUAGAGAAUUUGGGGAUCUAUUACAUU